rnacentral:rRNA from 1 species
CAAUAGCGUAUAUUAAAGUUGUUGCAGUUAAAAAAGCUCGUAGUUGGAUUUCUGGCCGAGUGUCCCUAGGCCAGCAUGACGUUUGGUCCUAGGCGCUCUGCCAUCCUUCUGUCAACCUUCGCCUUCUUCAUUGGGGCGCUGGGGCUCAGAUAUUUUACCUUUGAGAAAAUUAGAGUGUUUAAAGCAGGCUUAUGCCGUUGAAUAUAUUAGCAUGGAAUAAUAAGAUAGGACUUUGAGUCUAUUUUGUUGGUUUGCGAGUCAAAGUAAUGAUUAAUAGGGACAGUUGGGGGUAUUCGUAUUUCAUUGUCAGAGGUGAAAUUCUUGGAUUUCUGAAAGACGAACUACUGCGAAAGCAUUUACCAAGGAUGUUUUUCAUUAAUCAAGAACGAAAGUUAGGGGAUCGAAGACGAUUAGAU